GGUAACAAAAAGAAAAGGGGAGGGAAAUUUUUCAGAUUUUCCUUCACCAAGCUUAAGAGAAAACACCUAAAUUUCUAUACCUACACAAACCUUAGAUUUUCUACGUGGGGAGACAAACCGGGGCAGGAGAUUUGCAAGAAGAAAAAGUGAUAGAAUUUCUAAGAGAAGAGGGAGUGGGAGGCCGGCUGCUUGUAGAGAAGAAAGGGGUUAGGAAACUUUAAUCAAAUCAGAAAUCAAACCUAAAUUUCCUCCAGGAGGAACCGCGGGAGGAGUACAACAACAACAGGGGAACGCAAGUCGAGCGUCUACAGCAGGUCCCUCCCAUUCACGUCAGGAGUAGAAUUUAGGUUCCUUAUCCCUUUUGUAUAAGUUAGGAACUUAGAGAUUUUCAUGUAAUUUUGUUAUGCAGCAAACAUGUAACCUGAAUAGAAUAGUAUAC